GACGAACGCUGGCGGCGUGCUUAACACAUGCAAGUCGAACGGAAAGGCCCUGCUUUUGUGGGGUGCUCGAGUGGCGAACGGGUGAGUAACACGUGAGUAACCUGCCCUUGACUUUGGGAUAACUUCAGGAAACUGGGGCUAAUACCGGAUAGGAGCUCCUGCUGCAUGGUGGGGGUUGGAAAGUUUCGGCGGUUGGGGAUGGACUCGCGGCUUAUCAGCUUGUUGGUGGGGUAGUGGCUUACCAAGGCUUUGACGGGUAGCCGGCCUGAGAGGGUGACCGGCCAAAUUGGGACUGAGAUACGGCCCAGACUCCUACGGGAGGGAGGAGUGGGGAAUAUUGCACAAUGGGCGGAAGCCUGAUGCAGCAACGCCGCGUGCGGGAUGACGGCCUUCGGGUUGUAAACCGCUUUCGCCUGUGACGAAGCGUGAGUGACGGUAAUGGGUAAAGAAGCACCGGCUAACUACGUG
rnacentral:rRNA from 1 species